AAGGUGGUCAUUUUGAUUUGGGAGGAACAGAAAAGCAGGCAGAGAAGAAUAGCUGGAGUAGAAGCACAUGGAGAGAAGUAAAGAGAAGAGCAGCAUAGCAGCAGAGACUGGUAGUGGAUCCUUGGUGGAGUAAGUGUGGAUGUGUCAUUCCUCUGCAUGUUGGUUAAAGCUUCCUGGGAGUCCUCAGGAGGGAAUGUUGUGCAGGCUGGGAAGGGUGGAGAUACCGGAUGACAGAAAGGUCUUGCAGCGAGGAAGGUCUUCUUGGAAGAGGAAUGGCCGGUCCAGGGGAAACCUGGCCCGUUGGAAGCCUCCCACCCCCAUCAGCUUCUCCAGUUCCAGGGCUUCCCGGAACAGGCAGCCCAAGUCCAAGAUUUCCCUUCCCAAGGCAGACAAGCUGUCACAUUCCUGAACUGAGCCUGGCUAGAAGGAGAUCAGUGCUAUUCUGAUGGAGAAGCCAGUGAAAGAUGACUAAUAAAAUAACUAAUAAAAAUAAUAAUAAUCCUCAAAGCCAUAAUCGUCACCCGGAGAGGCAGCUGCGCCCUUGAAGAGUUCUUUCCCAGCCAAAUUUGGAAAAAAUGGUCCUCAUCCAAUUAGUUUAAUAAACGUCACCACGGAAACCCUGAU